UACGUAGGGGCCGAGCGUUGUCCGGAGUUAUUGGGCGUAAAGCGCGCGCAGGCGGCCUCGCGCGCCCGACGUGAAAGCCCCCCGGCUUAACCGGGGAGGGGUCGUUGGGGACGGCGGGGCUUGAGGGCGGGAGAGGGUGGUGGAAUUCCCGGUGUAGUGGUGAAAUGCGUAGAGAUCGGGAGGAACACCCGUGGCGAAGGCGGCCACCUGGGCCGACCCUGACGCUGAGGCGCGAAGGCGUGGGGAGCGAACGGG
rnacentral:rRNA from 1 species